GCCGACGUGGUGGAAUUGGUAGACACGCUAUCUUGAGGGGGUAGUGCCUUAGGGUGUGCCGGUUCGACUCCGGCCGUCGGUACCA
rnacentral:tRNA from 1 species